CCAGCGGGGAAGGAUAUUGCAUUAGUGAUGUCCAAACACACAGGCUGCAGACACACAGGUCUGAUGUACUCCGUGAACCUGACUACAGAGGAGAGUCUGAGCAGAGCAAUGUCAUUGUCGAAGAUUACAUUGUCGAAGAAUGGAUGCAAAAUUAUUGCUGCAACAGUCCUGGUCACUUCGUUUGGGUUGAUGUCCUUAAGACUGUGACGACCAAGAGAAACGGACCAACCAAAGGGUGUCCCACCUGGAGAAGCAGUGUGCAGCAGACAUUACCCACUCUCUGUUUAUGAGAGACCCACCACAAACAUGGAUGCCAAAACUCUGCAGACUAGCUUGCCAGGGCCAACUUCCUUCCGAAGCAGCGUCACCUCCAACUAUCUUUAUCUCCUGCGAUGAAGUGCCUCACCUCCCUCCUGGACUGUUCCCCAACCAGUGACCCAGCUAUCAGUACCAUUGUUGAACACACUGUUACUGGAUGCCAGACACACAGGUCUGAUGUAGUCUGUGAAUGAUACUGGUUCUGAAGACCAAGAGAAACCGACCAUCCAAACGUACUUGUACUACAGCGAGAAGGGCAGUGGUUAGCUGGUGAAAGUGGAAGAAACGUACGUCAUUAUGUUUGGGUGACUCACCUGGAGAAGCAGUGGGCAGCAGACAGCACCCACUCUCUGUUUAUGAGAGAACCACCACAAACAUGAAUCCCAAGAUUCUGCAGACUAGCCUGCCAGGGCCAACUUCCUUCUUGAGCAUCUACACCCCCAACAAUCUUUGUGUUCAUUAGUGGGAUUCCACACACAGUACUCGAGAUGCUGGGCAUUGGCUCUUUGGUUGUAGCUGGCCCUUCAGUAACAGGACGAGGUAGACCAGGACAAGUGUAGUUACUAUCAGUAUACAAUCCACUAGAGUUGAACCACACAAAGCCAGGCUUAUCAGAGCUGAUGUGGGAGUUGAUCCAGGACUGGUAGCGGGAGACUCUUGAAUAGACUCCAGGCUUAUUAGGCUGACCACAGCCAAAACCAAAACUAAUGAUUCCAGAUUGGAUCCAUAUGGAACCUUGCUUGCUUACCAUUGGACCUCCUGAGUCCCCCUGAGAAUGUAAAGAGGAAUUGUCUGACAAAACAUCUUUAACCUUUUAAAAUGCAAGAUGGAAAGAAUUUCCCUACCUGACAUGCAUCUUUCCCUCCUUCUAGAAAACCAGCACAGAUCAUAUUGUCUGUGACUAAACCCACUCCAAUUAGGCAGUUACAGUGUCUAUUUCCCAGAAUUGGGACUUCCACUUCUUGUAGCGUUGCAGGGAAGGGAAGAGGUACUAAACAAGACAGUGGCCAUGUGUCAGGUAUACUCUAAUUUUAUAUGUUGAUAUUUUAUUAAGGGAAAGUGUAUUUUACUGAAGGGUCAAUGCCUCACCUCCUUCAUUGACUGUUCCCCAACCAGUGACCCAGCUAUCAGUACCAUUGCUGAACACACUGCUAUUGGCUACCAGACACACAGGUCUUAUGUAGUCUGUGAACAUGACAGGUGAGGAGAGUCUGAGCAGAGCGAUGUCAUUGUCCAAGCUGAAAAUGUUGAAGCCUGGAUGCAAAAUGAUUGUGUCCACAGUUUUGAUCACUUCAUUUGGGUUGUUUCCCAGCAGGUUCUGACGGCCGAGAAAAAUUGCCCAUCCAAAGGUACUUGUGCUACAAACAAAACACCAAAUGUAAGAUGGUCAAAACAGAAGAAAUGGUUCUGUCUUCAUGCUAGGUUGACCCACCUGGAGAAGCAGUGGGCAGCAGACAUCACCCACUCUCUGUUUAUGAGUGAACCAGCACAAACAUGGGUACCAAAAAUCUCCAGACUUGCCUGCCAGGGCCAACUUCCUUCUUGAGCAUCUUGACCACCAACUAUCUUUGUGUUCAGUGCUGGGCUGCCACACACUGCACAAUGUUAUCUCAUUAGAAUCCAAGGAUGCCGUAACACAUUAUCUAGAAAAGGUUGAACUUGUCACAUGCAAUGCCACACUUAUGACAAACUCAAAGGUCUUUUAAACAACAGAAAAGGUGUUUCCAUCAAAGACAAUAGUUGAGUUAUGAACAAAACAGUGUUUUUGUGAAUUUACAUUUUCAAGAAUUGUGAAGACUACCAAAAUAACAACAAUGGCCAGUUUUCAGAAACAGACCCUUGGCGGAGGAAGCACAGUAGUAUAAUACCUCAAGGGUCUAAGCUACAUUAUAUAAAAUACUGCAAUGCUAGAUGUCCCACAGUGGAAACCAGAUCAAGAUUUACCAUUACCAGCUGUAACAUGGGGGCUAAGUUGAACUUUCCCACUUGAUUGAAACAUGGUUCCAGUGUCAUAUCAGUCAAAUAGAACACAUGUUCUUUUCAUAUAAAUCUACAUGCAACAUAUGUUGUAACUGCUGUGGUAAUAGUGGAACGCACAUUCGGCACUGGGCGUAACAUCAGGAGGAGGCAAAGAACAUGUGUAGUUGCUAUCAGCAUCCAGCCCAUUGGAGUUGAACUGCACAAAUCCUGGUUUAUCAGAGCUGAUGUGGGAGUUGAUCCAGGACUGGUAGCGCGACACUCUUGCAUAAACCCCCGGAUUAUUUGGUCGAGCACAGCCAAAUCCAAAACUGAUGAUUCCAGACUGGAUCCAGAUAGAAUCCUUCUCACUCACCAUUGGACCUCCUGAGUCUCCCUGAUGGUGUGGAGAAAAAAGUAUCUGUCAAAACAUCUUUUAACAUUUAAAAACAAAGUAGGAAAGGAAAACUAGUCUACCUGGCAAGCAUCUUUCCCUCCCUCUAGAAAACCUGCGCAGAUCAUAUUAUCUGUGAUUAAACCCUCUCCAAUUAGGCAGUUACACUGCCUGUUUCCCAGAACUGGGACUUCUACUUCUUGUAGCGUUGCAGCGAAGGGGGGAGGCACUAAAAGGUACAGUAAAAUAAUAUGACAUACAUUCAACAAAUAUCUUUUUUUUUUUUUUUUUUUUUUAAAGAAACGUUACGUUACUACCUAAAGAGUCCCUUACCUCCUUCCUUGACUGAUCCCCAGCCAGUGACCCAGCUAUUAGUACCAUUACUAAACACACUACUAUCGGCUGCCAGACACACAGGUCUGAUGUAGGCUGUGAAGAUGACUGCAGAGGAGAGUCUGAGCAGAACAAUGUCAUUAUCGAAGAUUACACUGUCAAAGUAUGGAUGCAAAAUUAUUGUGGCAACAGUCUUGGUCACUUCAUUUGGUUCGAUGUCUUCUAGCUUAUGGCGACCAAGAGAAACGGACCAACCGAAGGUACUUGAGCUACAGAGAGAAUGCCAAAGGUUAGAUGGUCAAAUGGGAAGAAAUGUAUAUGUCUUCAUGAUAGGGUGGCCCACCUGGAAAAGCAGUGGGCAGCAGACAGUACCCACUCUCUGUUUAUAAGAGAACCACCACAAACAUGGCUACCAAAACUCUGCAGACUAGCUUGCCAGGGCCAACUUCCUUCUUUAGCUACGUGACCUCCAACUAUCUUGUUCUUCUGUGAUGGUAUUCCACACACUGCAAACAUGGCAUCUCUUUAUAAUACGACAGACUGGUAGAUAACACAGAAGAUGCCCAUUGUUUCAUUGUUUUAAAAUGGCAAUGGCAAACAAAUUUAAUCAUCUACUCAAAAGUCUUUCUAACACUGAGCAGUACGGUUAAUCCAAAACGUUUGUGAGUUUCCUUCACCACUUAUUGCCAGCCUACUCUUGGGGUAGGAAACACAGUGGUACCAUACACAAAGGGACCUAGAAUACUGCUGUGCUGGACAUCCCGAUGUGUAAACACAAACCAAAUCACUUCAAAAUUCUCUGUCAUAUCUUAGGGGCAGAGCUGAGGUGUAACACUAGUUGGAAACAUGUUUUAAGUGUUAUUGACAAUCAAUUAAAACUCCUGGUCUUCUCAUAGGACUCUGCAUGUAAUGCAUUUUAACAAUAAUGUGGUUAUUGUGACGCACAUUCAGCACUUGACAGGUAAGGCACUGGAUCUUCGGUUGUAGCUGAUCGUUCAGUAACAGGAGGAGGCAGACCAGAACAAGUGUAGUUGCUAUCAGCAUCCAGCCCACUGGACUUGAACUGCACAAAGCCAGGCUUAUCAGAGAGGAUGUGGGCGUUGAUCCAGGACUGGUAGCGGGACACUCUGGAGUAGACUCCGGGCUGAUUGGGCUGAGCACAGCCAAAUCCAAAACUGACGAUUCCAGACUGGAUCCAGAUAGAAUCCUGCUCGUUUAUCAUUGGCCCUCCUGCGUCUCCCUGAGGGUGUGGAGGAACAUUGUCUGUCAAAAUAUCUUAACAUUUAAAAAACAAGUAGGAAAGUAGAAGUAGGCUACCUGACAAGCAUCUUUCCCUCCUUCCAGAAAACCAGCACAGAUCAUAUUGUCAGUGAUUAAACCUAAACCGUUCAGGCAGUUGCACUGUCUGUUUCCCAGAAUUGGGACUUGCACUUCUUGAAGUGUUUCAGGGAAGGGGAGGGACACUAAAAAAAUACAGCGACAGAGUAUCAAGCAUGUUCUCUAUAACAUAAUUUUUAAUAAUGUUUUAAUUUUGAAUUUUUUUUAUUAGAAGUGCCUCACCUCCCUCCUGGACUGUUCCCCAACCAGUGACCCAGCUAUCAGUACCAUUGUUGAACACACUGUUACUGGAUGCCAGACACACAGGUCUGAUGUAGUCUGUGAAUGAUACUGGUUCUGAAGACCAAGAGAAACGGACCAUCCAAAAGUACUCGUGCUACAGAGAGAAUGCCAAACGUUAGCUUGUCAAAGAGGAAGUAAUGUAUACACUACGUCUUCAUGUUUUGGUGACCCACCUGGAGAAGCAGUGGGCAGCAGACAGCACCCACUCUCUGUUUAUGAGUGAACCACCACAAACAUGAAUACCAAGAUUCUGCAGACUAGCCUGCCAGGGCCAACUUCCUUCUUGAGCAUCUACACCCCCAACAAUCUUUGUGUUCAGUGGCGGACUGCCACACACUAGGAAAAAGAGGUUACGGUGAAUUCAUGAGGAGAAUGUUCAUUCAUUCAGACAAAUCUUUAUAUUUCCCAUUAGAACUUACCAUCCAGCUGAGCAUACGACUCUGGGGAAACACAUACGGACACAAACGAGAAUUAUAACUUGUCUAAACAGGUUGGUUGACAUUGAAUAGCUGAACACACGGUACAAUUAGUGACUUAAUUUUCUCAAAAAUAUGAAACAUAUUUCAACCAAAGAGUUAACACCUUCCACUAUUUUAAAUUAACUACAUUUUGAUCAUGACAAAUUGGCCCUUUGCAAAGAUUAGACUAAAUACAUAUAUAAAUUGGUGUACAUCAUAAAUACAGACAUUUUACUCCAUGAAAAUUACAUUUUCUAGUACUGUUUAAAAUAAAAAGGUUGUAGUGCCUGUCUAUAUGAAUUUAUAAAAGGUUAAAAUAAAAAAUAGAAGGUUAAAAUAAACCUAUCCAUUCAUUUUCUGAGCCGCUUCUCCUCACUAGGGUCGCGGGCGUGCUGGAGCCUAUCCCAGCUGUGAUCGGGCAGGAGGCGGGGUACACCCUGAACUGGUUGCCAGCCAAUCGCAGGGCACAUACAAACAAACAACCAGUCGCACUCACAGUCACAGUCACAGUCACACCUAUGGGCAAUUUUAGUCUCCAAUUAAUGCAUGUUUUUGGGAUGUGGGAGGAAAGCGGAGUGCCCGGAGAAAACCCACGCAGGCACGGAGAGAACAUGCAAACUCCACACAGGCGGGGCCGGGGAUUGAACCCGGGUCCUCAGAACUGUGAGGCUGACGCUCUAACCAGUCGUCCACCGUGCCACCGAAAAUAAAACUAAUAAUUCAAAAUAAAAUAAUAUAUACAUAUGUGGAAUCCAGCACGCCCGUGACCCUAGUGAGGAUAAGCGGUACCAAAUCGAUUUAUAAAUAACUACAAAUUCUGUAUUUUUAAAUACAUCCAUCCAUUUUCUAUUCCACUUAUCCUCUUUAGGUUCAAGGGUGAGCGGCGGCAUAGCCCCCUAAAAAAAAAAUAUUAAGUCACCAAAGUUCAAAAUUCCCUGUUUUGUGCUCUGUCAGGGUUUAGAGUUCAAUUGAAGUGGGUUCAUUUACAAUUCAUGACAAUAUUAUUUUACCAAGAUGAAAUAAAAUGAAAAAAAUAACAUCCAGAAUGAAACACAAUACAUUUUGUAAAAACUUAAAAACUUUAAAAACUCAAGUCAUUUUCCCAAGUGCAUGUCACAAUACAAUAUUUCCAAAUUUUCAAUUUUAUAUGUCACAAAAAAUUAGACUGAUUUCAACAACAAAAAUUCUAAAUGUUGCACUAAGGAUUCAUUGAUAUUGUAUGAGUACAAUCAUUUAUACAAAAAAAGAAACCACACCACAGCUAGCUUCCUGUUUGAAUUUGACUAUACAGUAUAUACUACUGCAAAAUACUCAAAUGUCACAUGAUCAUGCAAAGCACAAAUAAAUCAUAUUUUGGGUGAUUUGUUUAUGCUCAAAACAAUACAGCAUACAAAAGUCAAGAAUUUCAGUGCAACUUACUUGCAAUUAAAAGGAUGACCAGAGCCAAUAUAUAUUCCCUCCAAGCCAUUGUGUAAAUUGACAACUUCUUGCACGUCACUGAAUAUAAGCUUGGGUGGUCAUGUCACCUGCAAAAGGGUGAGCCCAUCCCAUUGCCCCCUCCCCCCCCCCCCCC